rnacentral:tRNA from 1 species
GGGGGGAUGCCCGAGCGGCCAAAGGGAGCAGACUGUAAAUCUGCCGGCGGAAUGCCUUCGGGGGUUCGAAUCCUCCUCCCCCCA